UAUAGCUUGGCCUAAUGGUUAGAGAGUUGGACUUGUAGUCCAAAGGUUGCGGGUUCGAGUCUCAGGUCCAG